rnacentral:tRNA from 1 species
GAUAGUAUGGCUGAUGUAUUAGGCGUUAAACUGUAAAUUUAAUUAAGAAAUUUGUUUUUCUACUUUCA